rnacentral:snRNA from 1 species
AACGCUUUACGGCCUUUUAGGCCCAGAUCAAAGUGUAGUAUCUGUUCUCGUCGGUUUGAAAGCCGGCGCUGAUCUCAUAGAGAUCAGGCUAUUUCAAGCAGAUUUUUGGAGCAGACCAUGUUCAUCUGGGUUGACUCGGAUGUUUCAUGUGUCGGAUUGCCUCGGCACUGCAAUGCCGUCGAGUGUGGUCCACUCUCG